AUUGAACGCUGGCGGCAGGCCUAACACAUGCAAGUCGAGCGGAGCGGCGGACGGGGGAGUAAUGCCUAGGAAUCUGCCUGGUCGUGGGGGAUAACGUCCGGAAACGGGCCCUAAUACCGCAUACUAUCAGAUGAGCCUCGGUCGGAUUCGCUAGUUGGUGGGGUAAAGGCCUACCUAGGCGACGAUCCGUAACUGGUCUGAGAGGAUGAUCAGCCACACUGGAACGUGGACACGGUCCAUGCUCCUACGAGAGGCAGCAGUGGGGAAUAUUGGACAAUGGGCGAAAGCCUGAUCCAGCCAUGCCGCGUGUGUGAAGAAGGUCUUCGGAGUGUAAAGCACUUUAAGUUGGGAGGCGUUACCAGCAGAAUAAGCACCGGCUAACUUCGUGCCAGCAGCCGCGGUAAUUC
rnacentral:rRNA from 1 species